CAACCAAACUCAUAGUGCAAGUGGUAGUGAGGAUGUGGCCCCUUGCUAACACAACCCUUCGAAAUCAGGCCUGGAUUCAGACUAUGGUCCAGCAUCUUCUUGACACUGGGUUUCCUGACUUGUCCCUCUCCAGCACAGUGAAGGGAGCCAAGAAGAGAGAAUAACUCUCUCACUGGAUCUGCCUACCUCUGGACCUUCCCAAGCAAGACCAGUAGCUAUGGCCAAGAGGUUAACAGUGGCUCACCACUAGGAUAUUCUUGCAUAUUGACACAGAAUAUUGUUUCAGCAUUUUGUCUGGAUUUCUACCUUUGUUCCCAUCACUUAAGUACUUCGUAAUGUACUUAUCUGUACAUCUUCAAUCCAACUCCUAGUAGAUUAUAAGUUCCUUUAGGGAAAAAAAAACGAUCAUUUUUAUCCUUGUAUUCUCAACACUUGGCACAGUGCCUUGAACAUGUUGGGAUCACUCAAUAUAUAUUGAAUGAGAAAAAGACUCACAAAGAAAGAUGAAUAUCAAUUAGUCCAACUCUCUUAUUUCAAAGAUGAGGAAACUAAAGUCUCAGGAACUAAAAUAUGGUCAUAAAGUAAUUUUUCAGCAAAGCUGGGACUAGAACCAAGAAGUAGUAGGAGCAAUAGCUUUGUUUUUCUUCAAAAUGUAUUAAAAUCUAAUCAUAAAAUUA